AUCAUACUCCUUCCAUCCAACAAAAGAUGUUUCAAGUUUGUUAAAAUUUGGAUGUAUUUAGACAUGACUUAGUAUAUAAAUACAUUCAAAUUUAAUCAAAAUUGAGAUAUCUUUUGUUUGACGGAGAAGACGAG
rnacentral:pre_miRNA from 1 species